CGGUUGCUUUUUCCUCUAUCUCUUUCUACAAUUUUGCUGUUGAAACAGAGGUAAAGUAUUACGAUCCAGAGCUGUUCAUCGGAGGGCUCUAUUAGAUGCUUUGGCAGAAGAAAUGACUGUGGAUUCAUGCAUAAUCUCCUAGAUCUAUGGAUAUUGAAUCGAAAACUUGGAGAAUCUGUCGAAAUUUGGUGCCAAAAGCAGUUCUUCAGGGAUUCCAAACAUUUUGUUUAUUUCUCCGGUGAAGGGUAAUUUAGGGAUCAGGGUAAUACUGUUGUAUUUUUUUUUCAUGGUGAAUGUCUUUUUCUCCGGUGCAGGCAGUGGCUAAGGCAAUUUUGAUGGUUAAGGAUGAAUGGUUUCAUCAAUAUUUUUUACAAGAAGUUUAGACUACCAUCUUUAUUCGGAAGAAUGUAGCUUUCCGAAAAAUGUAGCUGAGUUAGUUCUAAGAUGUAUCUCUACUGUUUUUGAGAUGCAUCUGUAAUAUUUUUAAAAUGUACAUGAUUUGUUUUUGAGAUGUAUCUGGAUUAUUUCUGA